CAAAAAGUGCUACAUCUAGGU
rnacentral:siRNA from 1 species